rnacentral:rRNA from 1 species
GCAUAUCAAUAAGCGGAGGAAAAGAAACCAACAGGGAUUGCCUUAGUAACGGCGAGUGAAGCGGCAACAGCUCAAAUUUGAAAGCUGGCCCUUUCAGGGUCCGCAUUGUAAUUUGUAGAGGAUGAUUCGGCGAGGGCUCCCGCCUAAGUCCCCUGGAACGGGGCGUCAUAGAGGGUGAGAAUCCCGUAUGCGGUGGGCUGCCUUAGCCAUGUGAAUCUCCUUCGACGAGUCGAGUUGUUUGGGAAUGCAGCUCUAAAUGGGAGGUAAAUUUCUUCUAAAGCUAAAUACCGGCCAGAGACCGAUAGCGCACAAGUAGAGUGAUCGAAAGAUGAAAAGCACUUUGGAAAGAGAGUUAAAAAGUACGUGAAAUUGUUGAAAGGGAAGCGCUUGCAACCAGACUUGUCCGCAGUUGCUCAGCCGGUCUCCUGACCGGCGUACUCUUCUGCGGCCAGGCCAGCAUCAGUUCGGGCGGUCGGAUAAAGACCUCGGGAAUGUAGCUCCUCUCGGGGAGUGUUAUAGCCCGGGGUGGAAUGCGGCCAGCCUGGACUGAGGAUCUCGCUUCGGCAAGGAUGCUGGCGUAAUGGUUGUAAGCGGCCCGUCUUGAAACACGGACC